GCUAAUGGAAAAGUUGACCUAAUUAAGGUGAUGGAUGGAGCAAAAACCAUUACAGGAGAAAAAAUUGGUAUUGAUGAUGUAAAAACUGUUCUGGAAAACAUGGGACUAGAGUACAAAGAUCAAGAAUUCUCCAAACUGAUGGAAACUCUGCAAUUUGAUGAUGACAGAAUGAUCUUUCAAAACAGGCUACUGGACAAAGUGAAGUCCCUGAAAGGUG